UUAUGGUAUAUGUCUUGUCUGGCUUCAGUGAGGUCGAUAGAGGAGAAUUAUGGUAUUUGUAUCGUUUGGCUACAGUGAGGUCAAUGGAGGAGGUUUAUGGUAUUUGUAUUGUCUGGCUUCAAAGAGGUCAAUGGAGGAGGUUUAUGGUAUUUGGAUUGUGUGGCUUUAGUGAGGUCGAUAGAGGAGAUUUAUGGUAUUUGUAUCGUUUGGCUACAGUGAGGUCAAUGGAGAAGGUUUAUGGUAUUUGUAUUGUGUGGCUUCAGUGAGGUCGAUAGAGGAGGUUUAUGGUAUUUGUAUUGUGUGGUUCAGUGAGGUCGAUAGAUGAGGUUUAUGGUAUUUGUAUUGUCUGGCUUCAGUGAGGUCGAUAGAAGAGGCUUAUGGUAUUUGUAUUGUGUGGCUUCAGUGAGGUCGAUGGAGGAUGUUUAUGGUAUUUGUAUUGUGUGGUUUCAGUGAGGUCGAUAGAGGUGAUUCAUGGUAUUUGUUUUGUCUGGCUUCAGUGAGGUCGAUAGAGGUGAUUCAUGGUAUUUGUAUUGUCUGGCUUCAGUGAGGUCGAUAGAGGUGAUUCAUGGUAUUUGUUUUGUCUGGCUUCAGUGAGGUCGA